rnacentral:rRNA from 1 species
GAUGAACGCUGGCGGCGUGCCUAAUACAUGCAAGUCGAACGCUGGAAAUCAAGCUUGCUAGAUUGAAGGAGUGGCGAACGGGUGAGUAAUACAUAAGCAACCUACCCACGAAGACUGGGAUAAUCUCUGGAAACGGGGACUAAUACCGGAUAGGUAAUCGGAAGGCAUCUUCUGAUUAUUAAAGGUUAAAAACACUGGUGGAUGGGCUUAUGGCGCAUUAGUUAGUUGGUGAGGUAACGGCCCACCAAGACGAUGAUGCGUAGCCGGCCUGAGAGGGUGAACGGCCACAUUGGGACUGAGACACGGCCCAGACUCCUACGGGAGGCAGCAGUAGGGAAUUUUCGGCAAUGGGGGAAACCCUGACCGAGCAACGCCGCGUGAGUGAGGACGGCCUUCGGGUUGUAAAGCUCUGUUGUAAGGGAAGAACGGUAGAUAGAGAAUAUCUAAAUGACGGUACCUUACCAGAAAGCCACGGCUAACUACGUG